rnacentral:misc_RNA from 1 species
GACUGGCCACCUCUCUGGGCCCUCAGGGAUGCUGCUGUCUGGACCCCUGACCAGUGACGAGUUCGCACUCAGGGCCAGGCUGGCGCUGGAGGAGGACACUUGUUUGGCUCCAACCCUAGGAAGAAGAGGGAUCCAGCAGUGAGAUCAGGCAGGUUCUGUGUUGCACAGACAGGGAAACAGGCUCUGUCCACACAAAGUCGGUGGGGCCAGGAUGAGGCCCAGUCUGUUCACACAUGGCUGCUGCCUCUCAGCUCUGCACAGACGUCCUCGCUCCCCUGGGAUGGCAGCUUGGCCUGCUGGUCUUGGGGUUGAGCCAGCCUCCAGCACUGCCUCCCUGCCCUGCUGCCUCCC